AUUGAACGCUGGCGGCAGGCUUAACACAUGCAAGUCGAGCGAGCGGCGGACGGGUGAGUAAUGUCUGGGAAACUGCCUGAUGGAGGGGGAUAAAUACUGGAAACGGUAGCUAAUACCGCCUACCCUCAGAUGUACCUAUAUGGGAUAGGCUAGUGGGUGGGGUAAUGGCUCACCUAGGCGACGACCCCUAGCUGGUCUGAGAGGAUGACCAGCCACACUGGAAUGGGGACACGGUCCAGACGCCUACGGGAGGCAGCAGGGGGGAAUAUUGCACAUGGGGGGCAAGCCUGAUGCACACCGCCCGGGUGUGUGAAGAAGGCCUUCGGGUGGUAAAGUACUUUCAGCGAGGAGGCGUUACUCGCAGAAGAAGCAACGGCUAACUCCGUGCCAGCCGCCGCGGUAAUUC
rnacentral:rRNA from 1 species